rnacentral:rRNA from 1 species
UACGUAGGUGACAAGCGUUGUCCGGAUUUACUGGGCGUAAAGAGCGCGCAGGCGGUCGUUCAAGUCGAGUGUGAAAGCCCCCGGCUCAACUGGGGAGGGUCACUCGAUACUGAUCGACUCGAAGGCAGGAGAGGGUAGUGGAAUUCCCGGUGUAGUGGUGAAAUGCGCAGAUAUCAGGAGGAACACCGAUGGCGAAGGCAGGUCUCUGGGCCACUACUGACGCUGAGAAGCGAAAGCAUGGGGAGCGAACAGG